AACUCACGCCUGUUGCCUCUGUGGCUGGAAUGACAGGUAUGCCUCACUAUGCCUGGUUUAUAUGGUGCUGUGAUUUGAACCCAGGACCCAGGACUUCACAGAGAAACCCUGCCUGGAAACAGCAAAAGCCCACCACAGACCUCCUAGGUAACGGUGUGCAGUCUGAACAUUUUCUUCCUGAGCCUGGGGCAGAGACGAGCAUACCCGACAUCACCAUUAUCAGUGCUAACUGUACAAUGAGACAAAGGAAACACGGAGAAAGGCGUAAGGAUGGAAAGACAGAAACAGUCACACCACCAAAGACAGUUCUCUCACGGGCACACAAAUGAUCAAACUGGCUUAACGAGACACUGACCAGAUAUAAAAUCAAGUGUCUUCUAAAUGUCUAAAACCUAGGAAGGCUGGGGUUAGGUCAGGAGUGCAUCGACUUGCAACCCCUACCUCUAGAAAAAAAAGAAUCAAGUUCAUUGUGUACUGUCAGCCAUCUAACAGAAUUCAGAAUUGAAAGGAAGCCCCGACACCAGUAAUAAAACACAAGACACCUAAAAAAUAACUAACACCGUGAAGACAGCUGCACUUGGGGGUGACCCUCAUAUUGGGGAAUGGUGGAUAAACACUUCGUUCAUCGAGAGGACAAUCUGCCGGUGCUGGAAGGCCCCGGUCUCGCUCCUGCUGUUUUCUAUCUGCAAAUCUACUUUGAUUUCAUUCUCUAUACCUAAGAGCCAAGAGUAAAUGAUUAAACACUUAUAAACAGUGUUGUGAACAGCCAAGUACAGAUGGUUAAACCUUUGUCAAACUAGAAUACUGGUGAAUGCUUGAAUGUGAAGAAUUCUAAAAAACGAAAAUUAAAAAUUUUACAUUUAAAAAUAC
rnacentral:lncRNA from 1 species